AUUGAACGCUGGCGGCAUGCCUUACACAUGCAAGUCGAACGGCAGCACGGGUGCUUGCACCUGGUGGCGAGUGGCGAACGGGUGAGUAAAGUAUCGGAACGUGCCUGGUAGUGGGGGAUAACUAGUCGAAAGACUAGCUAAUACCGCAUACGAUCUAAGGAUGAAAGCAGGGGACCUUCGGGCUCUGUGCUAUCAGAGCGGCCGAUAUCUGAUUAGCUAGUUGGUGGGGUAAAAGCCCACCAAGGCGACGAUCAGUAGCUGGUCUGAGAGGACGACCAGCCACACUGGAACUGAGACACGGUCCAGACUCCUACGGGAGGCAGCAGUGGGGAAUUUUGGACAAUGGGGGCAACCCUGAUCCAGCAAUGCCGCGUGAGUGAAGAAGGCCCUCGGGUUGUAAAGCUCUUUUGUCAGGGAAGAAAAGGCUGUGGCUAAUAUCCACAGCUGCUGACGGUACCUGAAGAAUAAGCACCGGCUAACUACGUGCCAGCCGCCGCCGUAA
rnacentral:rRNA from 1 species